rnacentral:rRNA from 1 species
GUAGGUGGCAAGCGUUGUCCGGGAAUUAUUGGACGUAAAGCGCGCGCAGGCGGUUCUUUAAGUCUGAUGUGAAAGCCCACGGGCUCAACCGUGGAGGGUCAUUGGAAACUGGAGAACUUGAGUACAGAAGAGGAAAGCGGAAUUCCACGUGUAGCGGUGAAAUGCGUAGAGAUGUGGAGGAACACCAGUGGCGAAGGCGGCUUUCUGGUCUGUAACUGACGCUGAGGCGCGAAAGCGUGGGGAGCAAACAGGAUUAGAUACCCUGGUAGUCCACGCCGUAAACGAUGAGUGCUAAGUGUUAGGGGGUUUCCGCCCCUUAGUGCUGCAGCUAACGCAUUAAGCACUCCGCCUGGGGAGUACGGCCGCAAAGGCUG